AGUGAACGCUGGCGGUAGGCCUAACACAUGCAAGUCGAACGGCAGCACAGUAAGAGCUUGCUCUUACGGGUGGCGAGUGGCGGACGGGUGAGGAAUACAUCGGAAUCUACUUUUUCGUGGGGGGUAACGUAGGGAAACUUACGCUAAUACCGCAUACGACCUACGGGUGAAAGCAGGGGAUCUUCGCACCUUGCGCGAUUGAAUGAGCCGAUGUCGGAUUAGCUAGUUGGCGGGGUAAAGGCCCACCAAGGCGACGAUCCGUAGCUGGUCUGAGAGGAUGAUCAGCCACACUGGAACUGAGACACGGUCCAGACUCCUACGGGAGGCAGCAGUGGGGAAUAUUGGACAAUGGGCGCAAGCCUGAUCCAGCCAUACCGCGUGGGUGAAGAAGGCCUUCGGGUUGUAAAGCCCUUUUGUUGGGAAAGAAAAGCAGCAGGUUAAUACCCCGCUGUUCUGACGGUACCCAAAGAAUAAGCACCGGCUAACUUCGUG
rnacentral:rRNA from 1 species